UUUUUUCAUUUACAAUCAUUUUCCUAUACCUUCCUGACACCUGUUUACAAUAAUAAUUUUGAACAUCUGAUUGAAGCAAACAGAAUUGCCAAGGUACACUAGCUACACAAAGUACUUUUUUUUUUUAUUUGAUUUAUUUUUUUGUGAAGGAAGAUCCCCUAUCAUGACUUUAGGCAUUUUCUCUCUAUAGAAAAGACAAAACACUGCUCUAGGAAUUGACCAUAUAUCACUGAAGGAAAUGAAACUCCUAUGAAAUAUUUCAUUAUGCUGGAGCUUUUUCAUGGACACUAAUGUGAACAUAAAUAAAAGCCGAUGACUUCAAGGAUAUCUGAAUUUCAAAGUUAUUUAGGAAAUACUCUAACAAAAAAAAGUAUAAAAUAGCUCCAGUCUUUUGUAAAUUAAUGUUUUUUCCUUUUUUCCUGGAAUUCCAAUGUUAAGUACUUUUUACCUUCCACACUUUAUAGAUGUUUACCUUCCACACUUUAUAUCCUGUAUAAUAAGGAAAUGGCUAACGAAUCAAAAUAAACAUUAUUCAGUGUAAGUACAUCAUUAUUCAACACAAUCUGAGCAAAGUGUUAAGAAGUUUUAACAAUGCCACUACUUAAUUAUGUGUAUAAUGCUACUGCCCUCAUUAUUGUGGAUUAAAUUCAUGCUGAUUCUUCUUAAUGUACUCGUUUUGAGAACACUUCCUGCCGAUAUUCAACAUGAUCUUCACAGCUUUUCUUGAUCUAAAGCCCUCUUUAAGAUCUCUGAACCAGACUGAUUUUUUUUUAUUAUUAUUAUUCUUUUUCCUACACCCAGCAGUGUAACUACAAAGUUAGCAUAGGAGAAGAAUGCAUUUUUAAAACCUUUAAAAAGCCAUGUGUCUUUGCAACUGAUUUUGCAAGGAUAUAAAUGAGUGUUGAAUAUGUCUUUUAAAGUAAAACAAAACAAAAAAGGAAAUAGUACUGGAAGAACAGAGUGAACGUUAGGCACAGGCAAAGUCGGUGCCUGCUCAGACAGCAGAUGAGGAAUCAGCAAUAGCCGUGGUGCAAACAUCAUUUGUAUUUGCAGCAAAUCUUGGAAAAACAGGUCUGCAGCUGCUGCUGCCCCUGCAGAGGCUGGGGUGAGGGCUGGGCUGUGUCCUAGGGCACCUACACCCAGCAGCUUUCAAGCC
rnacentral:lncRNA from 1 species